rnacentral:snRNA from 1 species
GUUCUUGAUAAAGGCAGGCCCUGCUCCCCUCACUGGCUUCAGCAGCACAUAUACUAAAAUUGGAACAAUACAGAGAAGCUUACAUGGCCCCUGCACAAGAAUGAAACCAGAAACAAUUUUAAAUCAAAGAUAAAUAUUU